UGGUGGGAUGCAGAUGCUUUUAGAACAGACAAGCUCAGUAUUUCUGCCCAUCAUUCCAGUCCCCUUAUUCCCAGCUGAAGCUACUCCAACAGCAGAAAGCAAGAGUGAAGUUGUCCAGGCUUUCCCCAGCGGCUUUUGGGUUUUAGUUCGAGAAGUUCAGCUUGUUCUUUAUGAGCAAGUGCACUCUCCCAAGUGCUGUAACACAGCAGCAGCGCUGAGAUAACGCAGCAGCUUGUCAGAAGAGAGCAAAGGAAAGGACCAGCCCCAGCCCCCUCCUCCCAGGUGAGGAACUGAAACGGUUUCCUACUAUGUCAAAGGUGCAAAAACUCAAAUGCACUCGAAUCUCUUCACUCCACAUCUCCCGAUCCAAAACACCUUGGAAUGAAAAGGAAAAUCAAAACCUCAAACCAUAUCCUCUCACCCCCAUUUAGCUCUUCCUAUACCUGUGUCGAGCAAACAAAAAACAAAGUCAAAUUGAAAUUCCAGGGCUUUUUUUUCCUUUUUUUU